AUGGAGAAAGCGGUGAGAGCAUACGCAGAGGUUCUGAGGCUUGUAAGGCGUUUACCAAAGGAUUCAAGGGGUUAUUAUGCCAAAUACGCACGCGAGAACUUCGUCAAUUACCGUGAAGUCGAUCCCUCUGAUUCCACAACUCUCCAUGAUCUCUUUCAACGUACCUACACUCAUUCCGUAUGGGUCCUCCAUAAGUAUUCAGUCCAUGAAUCUGCCGCUCAUAAGUUGAAGCGGAUAUGUCGCGGUUAG